rnacentral:rRNA from 1 species
UGAACGCUGGCGGCAGGCCUAACACAUGCAGGUCGAACGGCAGCACAGAAGAGCUUGCUCUUUGGGUGGCGAGUGGCGGACGGGUGAGUAAUGUCUGGGAAACUGCCCGAUGGAGGGGGAUAACUACUGGAAACGGUAGCUAAUACCGCAUAACGUCGCAAGACCAAAGUGGGGGACCUUCGGGCCUCACACCAUCGGAUGUGCCCAGAUGGGAUUAGCUAGUAGGUGGGGUAAUGGCUCACCUAGGCGACGAUCCCUAGCUGGUCUGAGAGGAUGACCAGCCACACUGGAACUGAGACACGGUCCAGACUCCUACGGGAGGCAGCAGUGGGGAAUAUUGCACAAUGGGCGCAAGCCUGAUGCAGCCAUGCCGCGUGUAUGAAGAAGGCCUUCGGGUUGUAAAGUACUUUCAGCGGGGAGGAAGGCGGUGAGGUUAAUAACCUUGCCGAUUGACGUUACCCGCAGAAGAAGCACCGGCUAACUCCGUGCCAGCAGCCGCGGUAAUACGGAGGGUGCAAGCGUUAAUCGGAAUUACUGGGCGUAAAGCGCACGCAGGCGGUCUGUUAAGUCAGAUGUGAAAUCCCCGAGGCUUUACCUGGGAACUGCAUUUGAAACUGGCAGGCUUGAGUCUCGUAGAGCGUCUGUAGUAAUUCCAGGUGUAGCGGUGAAAAUAGAUAGAAGAUCUGGAGGAAUACCCGGUGGCGAAGGCGGCCCCCCUGGACGAAGACUGACGCUCAGGUGCGAAAAGCGUGGGGAGCAAACAGGAUUAGAUACCCUGGUAGUCCACGCCGUAAACGAUGUCGACUUGGAGGUUGUGCCCUUGAGGCGUGGCUUCCGGAGCUAACGCGUUAAGUCGACCGCCUGGGGAGUACGGCCGCAAGGUUAAAACUCAAAUGAAUUGACGGGGGCCCGCACAAGCGGUGGAGCAUGUGGUUUAAUUCGAUGCAACGCGAAGAACCUUACCUGGCCUUGACAUCCAGAGAACUUAGCAGAGAUGCUUUGGUGCCUUCGGGAACUCUGAGACAGGUGCUGCAUGGCUGUCGUCAGCUCGUGUUGUGAAAUGUUGGGUUAAGUCCCGCAACGAGCGCAACCCUUAUCCUUUGUUGCCAGCGGUUCGGCCGGGAACUCAAAGGAGACUGCCGGUGAUAAACCGGAGGAAGGUGGGGAUGACGUCAAGUCAUCAUGGCCCUUACGGCCAGGGCUACACAUGUGCUACAAUGGCGCAUACAAAGAGAAGCGACCUCGCGAGAGCAAGCGGACCUCAUAAAGUGCGUCGUAGUCCGGAUUGGAGUCUGCAACUCGACUCCAUGAAGUCGGAAUCGCUAGUAAUCGUAGAUCAGAAUGCUACGGUGAAUACGUUCCCGGGCCUUGUACUCACCGC